rnacentral:lncRNA from 1 species
UCUAUUUGUGUCCUAUUUGUCUCUACAUUGUCUACUAUGUUCUAUUUGUAUGCUUGGCUUCUGUGUUCUAUUUGUCUGUAACUCACUAUUUGUAUGAACUUAUGACUCCGGGUAAGAGGUGUCUAUAACGCAGCUAAAAUUUACUCCUUCAAUUACCAAAAAUUAUUAAACCUUUAAAUUGUCCGUGGCAUAUGAUAACACCUGAACUUUUGGACCUUAGUACUUAUUAAACCUUUAAAUUGCAAAUAAAUUCAAAUGUAGCUUCAAGAGAAACUCAUAAAAGCUUCUGCAACUCACUUUGAUACCCUGAGGCACCUCAUUUAGAAUACAAAUGAAUGUUCAACAUAGAAUGAGAAACAUAGCUUUGAUAUAAAUGAAUGGAAUAUUAUGGUAGUUAGGAGAUGUCUAUUCACAGUUGAAUAUGAUGUUGAGUAACUUGAAAUUUUUAUCAAAUUACCUGUUUACUAGACUAGAUUUUGUAUAACAAGAAUUUAAAUAAGAAGGUACUUUUUAAUUCUUUUGAUAGCUGGAAAAUGGCAUUAACAUUUCACUUGUUUUGUUUCAGAAAAUGCAUUCCUUUAACUCUCUAAUUUGGCAUUUCCCUUCUACUUUACUUCUUAAGAUCAUAUAUUUUGGUCAUUUGCAUGUAUCUCCAUUCUGACCUUUUUUGUUGUUGAAACUUCUGUGAUUUUACUUCCACAAUCCCCAAUUUAGUCUAUGAGCCAUU